rnacentral:rRNA from 1 species
GGCUGCAGUCGAGGAUCUUCGGCAAUGGGCGCAAGCCUGACCGAGCGACGCCGCGUGGAGGAUGAAGGCCUUCGGGUUGUAAACUCCUGUCGAGGGGGAGGAAGGGGAAACCUUGACCGAUCCCUGGAGGAAGCACGGGCUAAGUUCGUGCCAGCAGCCGCGGUAAGACGAACCGUGCGAACGUUAUUCGGAAUCACUGGGCUUAAAGCGCGUGUAGGCGGAUGGGAACGUCGGAUACUGAAAGCCCCCGGCUCAACCGGGGAAGUGGUGCCGAAACGACCUGUCUGGAGGGACGUAGGGGGAUCUGGAACUUCCGGUGGAGCGGUGAAAUGCGUUGAGAUCGGAAGGAACGCCCGUGGCGCAAGCGAGGUCCUGGACGUCUGCUGACGCUGAGACGCGAAAGCUAGGGGAGCAAACGGGAUUAGAUACCCCGGUAGUCCUAGCCGUAAACGAUGGGCACUGGGUAGGGGGCUCGCCGAUGGGCUCUCUGCCGUAGCGAAAGCGUGAAGUGCCCCGCCUGGGGAGUAUGGUCGCAAGGCUGAAACUCAAAGGAAUUGACGGGGGCUCACACA